GUAGUUAGCCGUGGCUUUCUGAUUAGGUACCGUCAAGAUGUGCACAGUUACUUACACAUAUGUUCUUCCCUAAUAACAGAGUUUUACGAUCCGAAGACCUUCAUCACUCACGCGGCGUUGCUCCGUCAGGCUUUCGCCCAUUGCGGAAGAUUCCCUACUGCUGCCUCCCGUAGGAGUCUGGACCGUGUCUCAGUUCCAGUGUGGCCGAUCACCCUCUCAGGUCGGCUAUGCAUCGUUGCCUUGGUAAGCCGUUACCUUACCAACUAGCUAAUGCAGCGCGGAUCCAUCUAUAAGUGACAGCAAGACCGUCUUUCACUUUUGAACCAUGCGGUUCAAAAUAUUAUCCGGUAUUAGCUCCGGUUUCCCGAAGUUAUCCCAGUCUUAUAGGUAGGUUAUCCACGUGUUACUCACCCGUCCGCCGCUAACAUCAGAGAAGCAAGCUUCUCGUCCGUUCGCUCGACUUGCAUGUAUUAGGCACGCCGCCAGCGUUCAUCCUGAGCCAGGAUCAAACUCUG
rnacentral:rRNA from 1 species